AGACUUGUUGCAACAGAUGGCUUUACCAGCGGCGGCUCGGCGGCGGCUGCACCGAGGAACUCUGGGACGCCGUUAGACAGAGAUAGAGGGAGAGAGGGAGAGAGGGAGGGGUGUUAGAAAGUCACGGCACUGGAAGGGAGCAGGAAGAACAGAGCGAGGGAGACUUCUUCGUCUUCUUCUUCUUCUUCUUCCUCCUCUUCUUCUUCGUCUACUCUCCCAGUGUUCCUCUGCAGACAGACAGGAAGACGUGUCGGGAAGUUGUGCAGCUGAGAGGAGCAACAGUUUUAUAGAGGAGAUGACUGUGAUCUGAGCCUUCCUCCUCCUCCUCCUCCUCCUCCGGCUCGGGGUCAGAGAGGAGAACACCUGCUGACAGCGAGGAGCUCCUGAGGGAGGAGACGCAGCAGCAGCAGGAGGACUGAACACGGCAGCAGACCGACACACCGAACAGGUAAACCUCCUCCUGAUAUGUCCAGUUGUGUAUUUAAGUUUUCCUUUUCUAACAACAACAAGUUUUCUGAAACACCACAAAGUUAACUCUGGUCAGAACCGUUACAGUUCAUAUGAGACGAUCAGAACAAAAAGAAGAAACAACCUUAAAACUUCUGAUCAUCUGAUUUUAUGAAGAUGUGAAAAAUCUGAGGAU
rnacentral:lncRNA from 1 species